rnacentral:rRNA from 1 species
CGGGUGAGUAAUGUAUGGGGAUCUGCCUGAUGGCGGGGGAUAACUACUGGAAACGGUAGCUAAUACCGCAUAAUGUCUACGGACCAAAGCGGGGGACCUCCGGGCCUCGCGCCAUCAGAUGAACCCAUAUGGGAUUAGCUAGUAGGUAAGGUAACGGCUUACCUAGGCGACGAUCCCUAGCUGGUCUGAGAGGAUGAUCAGCCACACUGGAACUGAGACACGGUCCAG